CCCUUAGAUGUUCUGGGCUGCACGCGCGCUACACUGAAGCUAUCAACACGUUUUCCCUCCCUGAGAAGGGCGGGUAACCUUUUGAAUCAGCUUCGUGGUAGGGAUCGGGGCUUGCAAUUGUUCCCCGUGAACCAGGAAUUCCUAGUAGACGCGAGUCAUAAGCUCGCAUCGAUUAAGUCCCUGCCCUUUGUACACAUCGCCCGUCGCUACUACCGAUUGAACGUUUUAGUGAGGCAUUUGGACCGACGCAUCUCAGUUUAACCGCUGGUUUGUGUUGGAAAGACUUCCAAACUUGAGCGUUUAGAGGAAGUAAAAGUCGUAACA
rnacentral:rRNA from 1 species